rnacentral:lncRNA from 1 species
GUUCAUCUAAGACCAGCUAAGAGGAUAUUGUAUCUGUGUGAGGUGAACCAAGGGUUCUAUAUUAAGUGUUAUCAGUCAUGAUGAGGAACAAUUUGAAGAUUUAGAUGAAGCAAGUGUUGGACCUGAUAUGAGCAUCCUAUCUUGUUCAGAUUUACACAUGUGUAACUACGAAUUGCUUGCAUCCCAUCCUAUUCAGAUUUACACAUGUGUUAAUCGACACGAGUCGUGUUCAUAGACUUUUAGCAUAUGCUACUGUUGUAAAAGGUUGUUUCAAUACUGGAAGAUAUGAGGACAUGUAUGCGUAUGUGU